rnacentral:rRNA from 1 species
AUUAGAGUUUGAUCCUGGCUCAGAUUGAACGCUGGCGGCAGGCUUAACACAUGCAAGUCGAGCGGAGAGAGGUAGCUUGCUACUGAUCUUAGCGGCGGACGGGUGAGUAAUGCUUAGGAAUCUGCCUAUUAGUGGGGGACAACAUUUCGAAAGGAAUGCUAAUACCGCAUACGUCCUACGGGAGAAAGCAGGGGAUCUUCGGACCUUGCGCUAAUAGAUGAGCCUAAGUCGGAUUAGCUAGUUGGUGGGGUAAAGGCCUACCAAGGCGACGAUCUGUAGCGGGUCUGAGAGGAUGAUCCGCCACACUGGGACUGAGACACGGCCCUGACUCCUACGGGAGGCAGCAGUGGGGAAUAUUGGACAAUGGGCGCAAGCCUGAUCCAGCCAUGCCGCGUGUGUGAAGAAGGCCUUAUGGUUGUAAAGCACUUUAAGCGAGGAGGAGGCUACUUUAGUUAAUACCUAGAGAUAGUGGACGUUACUCGCAGAAUAAGCACCGGCUAACUCUGUGCCAGCAGCCGCGGUAAUACAGAGGGUGCAAGCGUUAAUCGGAUUUACUGGGCGUAAAGCGCGCGUAGGCGGCUAAUUAAGUCAAAUGUGAAAUCCCCGAGCUUAACUUGGGAAUUGCAUUCGAUACUGGUUAGCUAGAGUGUGGGAGAGGAUGGUAGAAUUCCAGGUGUAGCGGUGAAAUGCGUAGAGAUCUGGAGGAAUACCGAUGGCGAAGGCAGCCAUCUGGCCUAACACUGACGCUGAGGUGCGAAAGCAUGGGGAGCAAACAGGAUUAGAUACCCUGGUAGUCCAUGCCGUAAACGAUGUCUACUAGCCGUUGGGGCCUUUGAGGCUUUAGUGGCGCAGCUAACGCGAUAAGUAGACCGCCUGGGGAGUACGGUCGCAAGACUA